rnacentral:sRNA from 1 species
AUAAAAAUGUAAAAUAAGAAAAUAUAUUGAAGAAAGAUGUAUUUAAAUUUAGUUAUCCAUAUAUACAUUUUUAGUAAGUAUUCUGGGUUGAAAAAUCCUUAGUCAACUUCCUAAUUAUAUGUUUAGUCCUUACAAAUUUAAUGAAACAAGAUAUCCCUUUAUUAUUAAAAGGGAAGUACAAAUUGAAAUUUUGUCUAAUUUGGCCUCAAUUUUGAUUUCAAAUUUGGAUUUUAUUCUUUGCUAUUCAAAAUCAUUAAGGGUAAUUUGGUCUUAACAAUCUCCUAAACUUUAUAUGAUCCGAUUCAAUCUAAACCAUUCAAUAAAAUUAAUUCCCUUCAAUCUAAACCGUUCAACAAAAAUAAGGAAUCUAUGUCGUUUUUGAAAUCAAAAUAUAAUCACAUUCCAUCCCUAAAAACACUAUAUUCAAUCACAAAAUCAAUAAUUAAUAAUAUCUAAAUCAUAUAUUACGAUUCUUCACUAAUCACUAGAAAUUUAUAUUUAUAAGUUUAGGAUAUCAAAUUUAUUCAAAUAUUUAGUAUAAGAACCAAAUAAACCGAUUGCCCGCGGUAAACCGCGUGUUAAAACCUAGUUCUCAUUAGGACAAUGAACAAAUUUUUCAUC